GAAAUUGUUUGGCCUCCAAACCAAGGCAACCAGUAGGAGGAUGUGGUUCAAACAUUUACCUUGCGACGCCGCAGGGCGAGAGGGGAGAGAAUGUAUUCGGGUGCCAUUAUUCAGAAUCAGUGAAUGCCAGUGGGAGGCAGGGAGAUAAGGAUGUUGGGUUAAGCCACAAGGAAUUUUUCAAAAUAAGCACAUGCUUGAACACACACAGAGAGAAAGAGACUUCAGAUACUGUUAAUUCAGAAGACUCUCAUCAUUCACUUUCCAAAUGAAUACCGGUUUCUAAUGGUCAGGUUUCUGUAGACCUAAUCAGAACUAUUUAAAUAUUUCAACAUGUCACAACAGAGAGAACAAUUACUAACAUUUCUGAAGUCCCAACAUUUCUGAAGUCCCAACAUUUCUGAAGUCCCGACAUUUCUGAAGUCCCUGCUACUACUCAAAACAGGGUUGACUCACUCAUGACUUUUUUAUUAUUAUAUUUUUAUUGAAGUUUUACCUUUAUUAUAUUUUCCAACUGUUGUACUGGAACAACAAUGAUUGUUUAGUUUAACUUUAACAGUUUUUGGCAGUUCUUUGUUAGAACAUUAUCAAUGUCAGCUGCUUCUAACCUAGUGAUUUUACUCUAAGUGUUUAAUGCCAGUGCUUUUGUUUUUUGGUGUGUUUCUUUGCCAAGUACUUUUGCAUUUUUAUAUGGCCAUUUGUUCAGAUUUAUUUUUUAUAUAUAUAAAUAUGGACUCAUGACCUUCUUGAUGUUGUUGGCCAACAAGAUUCUGACCCAUCUAUAUAUAUAAAAGAGUGAUGGCAUCAGGGCAGCGGACGAAACAACAAAACUACAGGCCCCCCAACCUCGAAAUUUGACAACACAACCCAUCAUUCACAGUUGUGGAAAGGAAAAAGGUUUGGAUCAUUGAUGUCGCCAUCCCAGGUGACAGUCGCAUUGACGAAAAACAACAGGAAAAACUCAGCUGCUAUCAGGACCUCAAGAUUGAACUUCAAAGAUUCUGGCAGAAACCAGUGCAGGUGGUCCCGGUGGUGAUGGGCACACUGGGUGCCGUGCCAAAAGAUCUCAGCCGGCAUUUGGAAACAAUAGGCAUUGACAAAAUUACGAUCUGUCAACUACAAAAGGCCACCCUACUGGGAUCUGCGCGCAUCAUCCGAAAAUACAUCACACAGUCCUAGACACUUGGGAGGUGUUCGACUUGUGAUUUUGUGAUCACAAGCAUAUCUAUCUUGUUUGCUGUGUCAUACAACAAUAAUAAUAAUAAUAAUAUAU
rnacentral:lncRNA from 1 species